ensembl:lncRNA
GCUUUCCACUCCAAGUCUACUGCAAGAGAUAGAAAUCAGAACUAAACAGAGGGAGACACAAAUGCCUCCAGACACGAAAAGAGACAGACAGCUCCUUACUCUCACCUCCAAGAAGAGUCCAGAGGAGAGUAAAAGAGAAUCUGACCAUCAACUCUGGCUCUGGCCACUGUCUAAACUGACCCUGACUUCAGCACUGCUUCACUUGUGCCCCGUCCUCUGACUGUGUGAAAGCAUUGUGAGGGCAGACUCUUGUCGGCCUCGUUCCCACCGUUGCCAAACAGCUGGAACAGCAGUUCCACACAGGAUGUGGGCAAGAAAGAUGUCUUGAAAGAAGAGACAGGUGGACAGUGGACAGACAGAUGAAGACACGAUAGACCAAAUGCAGAGGACCACAGACAGGCCCUGGAGAGUGCGAAGCGUGACUCGGUGAGAAGCUGGAAUAGGAACUUGAGAAGAGAAACCAGAAGAAAGACUGUUCUGGGACACUCAGCUCCCUGAACCUUCUUUCUAGAAAUAUUUUCAACAGGUGUGAGAGGUGGGGCCUGGUGUCCUGCCCACGCAGUCAUCUGAACAGAGGUGUAUUCGUCUGCUAGGCCUGCCCUUACAAAUGUCACACACCGGACGAAGGAAGCAACAGAAAUUGACAUCCCACAGGUCUAGAGGCUGGAAGUCUGAGAUCCAGGUAUGGGCGGGGCCAGUUCCUUCUAUAGGCUGUGAGAAGUACUCGUUCCAUCCUCUCUCCUGGCUUCCGGUGGUUUGCAGACAUCUCUGAUAUGACUUGGCUUGUAGAACAUGACCUUUCUCUGCCUUCAGCAUCACAUGGACAUUCUCCCUGUGUACCUGUCUCCAAAUUUCCCUGUUUAAUAAGAACACCAGUCAUAUACCUUGUCUUUUUUUUUUUUUUAAUGUUCUCCUAUCCUAUGGGUUGCCUUUUAGCUAUCUCUCUCUUACAAACAUUUAUUUGUCUGUUUCGGGUCUUAGUUGGAGCAUUCAGGAUCUACCACUGUGGUGCGUGGACUCUCCGGUUGUGGCACACGGCUUUGUUGUUCUGCAGCAUGUGGGAUCUUUCAGGUACAAUUUCCAAAAGACUUAUGCUAUCUACAAGGAGCUUGGAGUUGAGCUACUGUGUGAUCCAUGUAAACAAAUGAUGAUAAACAAGUUAAGGCACAUUUAUGUACAAAGUGGUCUAAGAACACUGUAAACGGAGGAAUUGCUUGUUUCAGGCUGCUAGGAAAAGAGUAAAGGGUACAGGAGAGAAAGGAGAGAAAACUGGCAUUGAGUCUUGAAAGACAACUUGCGCCCCCUAGACAGACAUCACUGGGGUAGGCGAGUUGCUAAGGGAAUGGGAUGGACAGUAUUCCAGACAAAUGGAGGAACAGGUGAAAAGGAGGUGGUAGGAGGGAACUGAGAAAGUGCGCUGGGUUUGGGGAACUGGGGCAAAGCAGGAGAGCAUAACAACGGCCAGAGAGAAGGUACAGGAGUGGAUUCGAGGCAGGCCAGCAAAAGAAUUCAUGGAUGUCAAUCUUUGCUAGUGCUCACGCUCAGUCACUUCAUUCAUGUCCAACUCUUU